AUACGGAGGGUGCAAGCGUUGUUCGGAAUUAUUGGGCGUAAAGCGCGUGUAGGCGGUUCUUUAAGUCUGAUGUGAAAGCCCCGGGCUCAACCCGGGAAGUGCAUUGGAUACUGGGAGACUUGAAUACGGGAGAGGGUAGUGGAAUUCCUAGUGUAGGAGUGAAAUCCGUAGAUAUUAGGAGGAACACCGGUGGCGAAGGCGGCUACCUGGACCGAUAUUGACGCUGAGACGCGAAAGCGUGGGGAGC
rnacentral:rRNA from 1 species